rnacentral:rRNA from 1 species
GGACGCCAGUUCUCAUGGAGCCAUCCUUGAAAUACCACCCUGGCAACUUUGAGGUUCUAACUCAGGUCCGUUAUCCGGAUCGAGGACAGUGUAUGGUGGGUAGUUUGACUGGGGCGGUCUCCUCCCAAAGAGUAACGGAGGAGUACGAAGGUGCGCUCAGACCGGUCGGAAAUCGGUCGUAGAGUAUAAAGGCAAAAGCGCGCUUGACUGCGAGACACACACGUCGAGCAGGUACGAAAGUAGGUCUUAGUGAUCCGGUGGUUCUGUAUGGAAGGGCCAUCGCUCAACGGAUAAAAGGUACUCCGGGGAUAACAGGCUGAUACCGCCCAAGAGUUCAUAUCGACGGCGGUGUUUGGCACCUCGAUGUCGGCUCAUCACAUCCUGGGGCUGAAGCCGGUCCCAAGGGUAUGGCUGUUCGCCAUUUAAAGUGGUACGCGAGCUGGGUUUAGAACGUCGUGAGACAGUUCGGUCCCUAUCUGCCGUGGACGUUUGAGAUUUGAGAGGGGCUGCUCCUAGUACGAGAGGACCGGAGUGGACGAACCUCUGGUGUUCCGGUUGUCACGCCAGUGGCAUUGCCGGGUAGCUAUGUUCGGAAGAGAUAACCGCUGAAAGCAUCUAAGCGGGAAACUUGCCUCAAGAUGAGAUCUCACUGGGAUCUUGAAUCCCCUAAAGGGCCGUCGAAGACUACGACGUUGAUAGGUUGGGUGUGUAAGCGCUGUGAGGCGUUGAGCUAACCAAUACUAAUUGCCCGUGAGGCUUGACCAU